rnacentral:lncRNA from 1 species
UGUUGGACACAGUAUGUGCUCGAUCACCAAGUCAAGUCACUAAGGAGAAGAUUUAACCCCUGUGAAUCCCUCGUGGUAGAAAGGAGACAUUACUGGUUUGACAUUGGAGGGUGCUCCACAAAAUACUAUCAACUGGGCAAGCAUAGAAAGGAUAUUUUCUGCACUUUCAACUUACCAAUAACAGAGCUGACUGACAGUAGAAGAAAUUGCCAAACAGAAAUAUCUUUAGAAAGCAUAAUUCAGUUCUCACACAGGCUUACCUACUCAAACAAUUCAUGUGUCUGAAAAUCCUUUAAUUUCAACAAAGUCUGAGGACCACCUAUCCAGCAGUGCCACUAAGAUGCAAAUUUCUUUAAAUGGAAUAAUAGAGAGAUUAUCAUGUUGUCUAUGUCACAAUCCCAACUCCUAGCAAUGGUCUGCAGAGCCAGCUUAGAUAUGAAAGGAAACACACUAAUGGACCCCAGAGGAGCUUCAACAAGCAGGAGCAAAGAGCAUCAGCUGCAUGGGUAUUGUUGCUUCAUUCUCCUCGCAAGGCAAAACAACUCACACUCGUGCUGGAUCUCACAGUCAACUACUACAAGAGCUAAGGGAAGAGUUUCUUUGGGAAGGGACUGAUCCAUCACCCUCUGGCAGCCCCUGAAGGACAUUCUACAGCCUUCUCAAAGAGAGAGCUUCAUCCAGUUGACACAGAUGCCAACAGCCAUGGCCAUCUCCUUGAAGAACCCGCUGAAAGAUCGGAGUUUGGUAUCAGGUAAUAUUGGCAUUCCAUCCCACCUGAUCUCCACUUGCCAUUGGCCAGCCUACACCACCCAUAUAUCAUCCACGGUCAAGAUGCUUGUUGACCAGGACAAGGCAAAGAUUGAGAGGUUCCUUAAAACACCCCAAGGAAAAGCUCAAGAACCGCCACACAGCAGUGAGAGCAGCCGGUUGCAUAGCAUGCUAAAGAAGCCGAGCUGGGGAUCACAGGCGGCAGGAGUGACCGGAGCAAGUCCGGCAGUAUCACGAUUCAGCACCAUCAUUACUCCCUUUGGGGUUAGUAAGGACUCAUCAACCGAUUUUGGUGGCCAGGGUGCACUGAGUGGCUACUCACAUUUGGGACCUUCACUGACGGGGUCCCGCUUUGUAAUUUUUUCCAAAAGAAGGGCCCCUCUCCGUGUGUUACCAAUGAAGCUGCCAGAGGCCCCCAAAAGCAGGAAGAGCAAGGACUAGGUCAGUGGCCUUCAGCUUCUGUGCACUGCAUUAAAUGCCUUUGGCCAUGAAUGUUUUGUCAUUGUAUGAAUUAUUUCAGACAUCUGAAAGGAUGGGUGAUGUAUGUGGCGUAUAUGUUAUUUCCUGGUUUGGCUGGGUGGAUUGGACUCAGCAAUGAUAGGAGUACAUUCUUUUGUGGUUUUAGACUUCAAUUCCUAGAAUUCUC